rnacentral:rRNA from 1 species
AACGAACGCUGGCGGCAUGCCUAACACAUGCAAGUCGAACGAGACCUUCGGGUCUAGUGGCGCACGGGUGCGUAACGCGUGGGAACCUGCCCUUAGGUUCGGAAUAACUCCCCGAAAGGGGUGCUAAUACCGGAUAAUGUCUUCGGACCAAAGAUUUAUCGCCUUUGGAUGGGCCCGCGUUGGAUUAGCUAGUUGGUAGGGUAAAAGCCUACCAAGGCGACGAUCCAUAGCUGGUCUGAGAGGAUGAUCAGCCACACUGGGACUGAGACGCGGCCCAGACUCCUACGGGAGGCAGCAGUGGGGAAUAUUGGACAAUGGGCGAAAGCCUGAACCAGCAAUGCCGCGUGAGUGAUGAAGGCCUUAGGGUUGUAAAGCUCUUUUACCCGGGAUGAUAAUGACAGUACCGGGAGAAUAAGCUCCGGCUAACUCCGUG